GCAGCCGCCGCGGUAAUACGUAGGGUGCGAGCGUUAAUCGGAAUUACUGGGCGUAAAGCGUGCGCAGGCGGUUCGUUAAGACAGAUGUGAAAUCCCCGGGCUUAACCUGGGAACUGCAUUUGUGACUGGCGAGCUAGAGUAUGGCAGAGGGGGGUAGAAUUCCACGUGUAGCAGUGAAAUGCGUAGAGAUGUGGAGGAAUACCGAUGGCGAAGGCAGCCCCCUGGGCCAAUACUGACGCUCAUGCACGAAAGCGUGGGGAGCAAACAGGAUUAGAUACCCCAGUAGUCCCUGUCUCUUAUAA
rnacentral:rRNA from 1 species